rnacentral:rRNA from 1 species
AGGGGGGGAAAGAAACAACAGGGAUUGCCUUAGUAACGGCGAGUGAAGCGGCAACAGCUCAAAUUUGAAAUCUGGCCCUUGGGUCCGAGUUGUAAUUUGUAGAGGAUGCUUUUGGCGCGGUGCCUUCCGAGUUCCCUGGAACGGGACGCCUUAGAGGGUGAGAGCCCCGUACGGUUGGACACCAAGCCUCUGUAAAGCUCCUUCGACGAGUCGAGUAGUUUGGGAAUGCUGCUCUAAAUGGGAGGUAAAUUUCUUCUAAAGCUAAAUAUUGGCCAGAGACCGAUAGCGCACAAGUAGAGUGAUCGAAAGAUGAAAAGCACUUUGAAAAGAGGGUUAAAUAGCACGUGAAAUUGUUGAAAGGGAAGCGUUUGCGACCAGACCUUUUCCCGGCGGAUCAUCCGGUGUUCUCACCGGUGCACUUCGCCGGGUUUAGGCCAGCAUCGGUUUCUGUAGGGGGAUAAAAGCUUUGGGAACGUAGCUCCCUCGGGAGUGUUAUAGCCCUUUGCAUAAUACCCUUACGGGGACCGAGGACCGCGCUACGGCAAGGAUGCUGGCAUAAUGGUCGUCAACGACCCGUCUUGAAACACGGACCAAGGAGUCGAACAUUUGUGCGAGUGUUUGGGUGUUAAACCCUCACGCGUAAUGAAAGUGAACGGAGGUGAGAGCCCUUACGGGUGCAUCAUCGACCGAUCCUGAUGUCUUCGGAUGGAUUUGAGUAAGAGCAUAACUGUUCGGACCCGAAAGAUGGUGAACUAUGCGUGGAUAGGGUGAAGCCAGAGGAAACUCUGGUGGAGGCUCGCAGCGGUUCUGACGUGCAAAUCGAUCGUCAAAUCUGCGCAUGGGGGCGAAAGACUUAUCGAACCAUCUAGUAGCUGGUUACCGCCGAAGUUUUCCCUCAAGAAA